rnacentral:rRNA from 5 species
AAACGACUCUCGGCAACGGAUAUCUCGGCUCACGCAUCGAUGAAGAACGUAGCAAAAUGCGAUACUUGGUGUGAAUUGCAGAAUCCCGUGAACCAUCGAGUUUUUGAACGCAAGUUGCGCCCAAAGCCAUCCGGCUGAGGGCACGCCUGCCUGGGCGUCACGC